ensembl:lncRNA
AAAGCUCUGAUCAUUAAUCCCAGUCAAGCAAGAAGUCAUCGUGCUUCAUAGGAUCAAAGCUGAACUCGGAUCCAGGAAAGAUGUGCCCUCCUCCUGCUUCUGUUGCCCUAAACAGGAGUCAUAGGUACUACUGCUGAGCUGGAGAACACAGGUCCACAGAGCAAGAUCAGGAUAUUACACUGUUCGAAAGACCUGGAUGGCCCCUCACUACAAGAAGACACUGAGGCCCUGGAGCGUGUCCAGAGAAGGGCAAUGAAGCUGGUGAGGUGUCUGGAGCACAAGCCUUAUGAAAAGCAGCUGAG